ACACGAGGUUUGGAUCUUGCAGUGUCUGCUGAGAGACAUUAUGUGCUGGAGUGUUUCCUCAGGUGUUCUGGAGCGUCUGGUUUGGUUUUGGAGACGUGGGGAUGUUCUGGUAUGCAGUAAUUGAAAAGCGAUCCACAGCAAGGACAAGCUGAGACUGAUACUGGCAGGAAAACCAACACAAAGAGGGACACAAACACACACCUGGGAGGAUGGUCAGCAAACUCAACUGGGUUCACCUGCUUACAGCCAAAACAACACCCCUCAGACUUUGGCCUGUCAAACACAGCUCUUAUCUCAGGUAACAGGAGGCAACCUGAAACUCAGACAGAACUGUCUCACUCAAUAACCAAUGAUCAAUCAAAAGGCCGCAAACUGCAAAGUUGUAGAGAGGCCUUGGUGCCUCUAACUUUAAAACCGAGGCUUCAGAAUGAACCCUUAAAUUGACCCUGUCAUGAGGUUCUUAGCAGGUAGUUUCCUUUAUUGCAGGUUUAUGCACAGACUUCAUUCAUAAUGUAAUGCAGCUAUGCACCCUUUACAGCAUAUCAUUAACGGAGAGAGAAGCAGAGAGAGAGGGGAUGAGUAAUCUUCAUCUUCCCUCCUGCCAUAUAAACUCACUGUGAGGACUCACCAUUAUCAACUCCCCA
rnacentral:lncRNA from 1 species